AAUAGAGCCAGUGUUACUACAGGAGGAAACCUAAGCUAAACUAACUUCAUUUACACUGGAUAGCUCCAUCAAUUCUAAGCUGUCUCUCUAGAUGUCAAGUCAGAGCCAGUUGUAAUGGCGCAACCUUGCUACAUGAGGAAAUCUGAACUACAUCAGCUUUAUUUAUACCCAGUAGCUCUAUCAGUUGUAAACUGUUGUCCUCACAGAUCCUACAAAGAUAAUUGCAGUUACUGCAGGAGAAAACCAGACUACUUGGAGAAAGCCUGCCGCGUUUGGUAGAGACAAAAUGAAAGCACACUUCUCACAUACAGCUGAGGAGACUACUUACUGUAACAUUGCAGGAAUCGAAGAUUUCAUACAUGUACCUUAAUUUGAGUUUUUGUGUCAGCUUUCUUGCCAUGUGAACUGUCUUUAACACUAAAUGUAAGAUCGUUAUUAUUGCAUUCAGGCAAUGGCGUUGUUGUAUCGUAACUAAUAUCAUUGCACCCCCCUGGACGUGUGCCAUUCAUUCACCGGAAAAGAACUAUACAAAACGAAGUACCAUCGGGUGCAUUUUUCAGUGUUCAUUCACCGGAAAUUAAAUGUACAAAACCAAGCUACCGCUGUUUGCAUCUAAGGAGAAACACGUUGGAAAAAAACACUAUUUAUUCCUACACAAGGACUCUCAAUCGGUCAAAAAAACUUUCCCAAUUUACUUUUAACGGACAAAACUUUUUUUCUGGCUAACACCCUGUAAAAUUUCAAUUUAUUCGUGUAACCAAGAUCAAUAUUGAACGGUUUGUGCCAGUGUAGGUAGUAACAAUAAUAAGAAAGUUUCGGAUUGAUAGGGAUACAACUACAUGAAAAAUACAAGGAGAACUUCGACGUUUCGAGCGAAGGUCCUUCGUUGGGAAGUUAGUACCUAGAUUAAACUUCAGUAUUUACAGUAUAAAUUCACGGGUUUAUAAAUUCACGGGUUUAUUAAUGGACCUUUCACCUUUUGACUAAAAUUUUGAUCUCAACAAGUCUAGACAAAAAUU